rnacentral:antisense_RNA from 2 species
CAUUAUGGUAGGGUGAAAGUGGGGACGCCUCUGUGCGUACUGGUUCUUGAGUCAGUCUGCUACUCCACUUUUGUCCUGUCACCA